AGAAUCAACGCUGGCGGCGUGCCUAACACAUGCAAGUCGAGCGAGAAAAGGGGAGCAAUCCUCUGAGUAAAGCGGCGCACGGGUGAGUAACACGUGGGUAAUCUGCCCUGGAGUGGGGAAUAACACCGGGAAACCGGUGCUAAUACCGCAUACGAUCACGAUUUCUGCGGAUGUUGUGAUGAAAGGAGCAAUUCGCUCCAGGAGGAGCCCGCGGCUGAUUAGCUAGUUGGUGAGGUAAUGGCUCACC
rnacentral:rRNA from 1 species